UUAAAAAUUCCCAACAUAUCGUACCGAUAUGGAUUCCGUUUGGCAUUAUUACAUGGUCCGCCAUGUCUUCAUUUAAUAGGGCAAAUUGGUCCGAUACUUAUAGCAGUGUUUAUGAUUCUUAGUCAACUGGGUAUAUGUACAGUGUUCGUUAUACUUACAUGUGAUAAUCUACGAGAUAUUAUGGAUUGGAAAAGUAUAGUUCCAGCGUUAUUAUGGCUGAUCAUCCCUUACCUAAUUCUGGA